UUUAGCAUGUGUUAGUGGUAAAUAGUUGCUUUCCAAGCAGUUGCCUGAGGUUCGAUUCCCAGCAUUGAAC